ensembl:lncRNA
GGAAAGUGCUUUUUGGGCAGCAGGGGAUUUUUUUGCUGCGAUCCCGCCAGUGGGAAACGGACCAGACUGAAAGUAGCUAGUUUUUAAUUUCCAAAUGAUGGAUGACUUACAGUAAUAGCUCCUCAAAAGUGAAGCAAAACAUAUUGAUCGCCCCCUAGUGGCUGUGAGCAGUAUAGCUCAAAAACAACAUCAACCAAAUUGAGAUUAAAUCAAAAGAACCGUAACAUGCAUGUGUGGUUAAGUGCUCUUAACUCUUUUUAUAGGGUGCAGCGGGUACGACAACCCCCUGGAUCAGAACACCUGCACCACCCAGGUGGAGAAGGAGAUCCCACUGCAGGAACUGGCUGAACUUCUGGGUGUGACUCCUGAUGUCAACCCGUCUGAGGAUGGAUCGUGUUGCUCACUGCGGCCUGAGACCAACUCACCUCAGCAGAAGCAGAGAGCUGUUCGCCUCAUACAAGCAUCAGUGUCCCAGCACCUCCCAAAGCCGCCAUCAGAUCUGGACCAGAACCUUCAGCAGCACCUGGUCAAUGUGCAGGAGACUGUGCCCAAUGAGCUCAUGAGGCUGUGGCCCCUGUUGGAGAAAAUGGAUUUGACUGAAAGUCUGAUUGAUUGCUACCAUCGUCAGACACUCGGUCACAUCGAUGAGCUACUCAAGAACGCCCAGUCCUGCAAGAAAGCCUUUGUGCUGAUGAACUGGGUCCUAAAUACAUAUCUGAGUCAGGAGCUGCUCGGUCAUCCCGACCUCCAGAAAAUGGAUCCGAUGAAGAAAGUCGACCUCCUGCUGUUCACAGAAUUGGCAGUAAAGGCAAAGAACAAGCUGCUGGACAACGUGCAGAAACAGGUCAGAGCACAUCUGGAGAACAUCCUGCAGAUCGAGAGGCGACAGGACGUUGGUGAUAAAGAGGAAACUUGCAUUGGACUUUAUAUCAACACCAUUAUGUGUAUUAAUGCGAUGCCCAAAGAAGCACAAGAAAUCAGCUCCAAACUGUCCGAUGAGGUCCGGGAGGUUUGUUUCCAGGAGCUGCUGAUAUUUCUGGAGAGGUACUCGUCCGAGCAGACUGAGAUUCUUGGGAAAAAAGCAAAAAUGGACAAACCAGAAACGAUACACUUCUUCAAGACGCUGAAAACCUGUAAAGAACUCAAGCAGCACGUCCAGACCAACAGCAAAGGCAUCAACGAGUCACUGAUCCAGGAAAUUGCAGAAACUCUUGAGAAGAUGGAGGAUUUUACUCUGAAACUCCUGAUGGAUAUUGUUGACGACAUGGCGGAGAUCCACCUGAGCAAUUACUUCAAGACGGAGAACAAGCAGUUCUUCUUCUUGAUCCUCGGACUGAAGGCGUAUUUCCCCAAGCUGUCGUGGUGUCAGGAUGUACAAAAGAGAGUGAUGGACGAGGCCUACAAGCUCAUCGCUCACAUUUACCUCAAACAUCUCGUCCAAAGCAGCCAGAAGAAACUGAAGAAGUGCUGGAGCGCUGAUGUUGGUCAGACGGUUACCGAAGAUGCCCAGAGUCUUCACGACACCAUCUCUGGCCUGGCCCCUGAUGUCAAACAGUGGAACCUCAUGAUGCUGAAGGUCACAGAGCUGCUGGAGGAUAAAGACAGCGUCGCGGUGAAGCUCACUGCUGCGAGCAUGCUGAAAGAAUGUCCCACGUGGAGGUAAAUCAAUCUGUUAAAUCAAAAUGUUGCCAAUAAUUCAGCGAAACUUUGCAUCUUACUGACUCUGUUCUGUGUUUCGCCCUCAACCACAGCGAGGACGAGGAGCUCCUGCCCGCCCUGCUGCGAUGGAAGGGUCUCUCUGGAUGGGAGGUGAAGGAGGUUCUGGAGGUGUUGGACUCACUUUCGGAGCACAAACCCAGUUCCAGAUCUGUAUCCUGGUACUCCUGUUUAACCUGCUGGUGACGGAUCGACUGCAACAAGCAGAGAAGAAGACAGACUUGGACUUUUAAUCAGCUGCCUCCUGUGGAAACCCGUUCCGUUAAUUCUUCCACCGUCUGAUCUAAAGACGGAUGCACAGACAGAAGUUACAGAAGGUUUUUAUAAGAUAUGGCACAAAAGUAUGAUGAGCUUUGUGCACAAGAGGCUGCUCAUCAGUUAGCCCACAUGUUACUGUUCCUGUUUUUUCAGGGAAAGGCGAAUAGGAGUUUUUUAAACCCUUGUUGACCAAGUUUAGCUUUUUCUUUCACAAUUUGCUAAUAUGCUAAUCUGUGCUUUGGUGGGUGAUGGUUUUUUCAUGACUUUAGUUUUAAAACAAGCAAAGUGAAAGUUUUUUACAUUUUCUAUGUGUUUUUUUUUAAAGAUAUUUUGUUGGAUUAUGUUUGAGGGAGAGAGUUACACCGUUAAGUUAAGGCUGAGUUUCUGAAACUGUACUGAUUUUUUUUGACAAUCAAAUGACGACCAGAGAGGAUUUAAAGGAAAUGUUAACUUUAUUGUUCUGUUGUGCAGUUACACAUUUACUUUUAGUUUGUUUACCGUCAAUUGCUCUGUGGAUUUAAGGCACUACAUGUAGAAACGUUAAGGGAUUUUUACUUGAACUUGUUCUUAUUUAAUAUUAUUUAUUAAGUUUUGAAUUAUUUAUUUACAUGUAAGCUUUACAGAAACUUCUCAGUGUUCACUAAACAACAAUCGGUGGUACGAUAUCAAACUUCACUGUUCAGAACAAAAAAACCUGUUUGAAUUAUUCUUUAACUACAGAUUCUGAUGAUGUUCAGUAUCAUUUGUUAUUUAUGUGUUCAUGUCUAAUAAAAUCAGGGCACAGAAGUGUUUUCUAUCUGAGUUUACAGGUUUUUUAUUCCCCCUUAACUCAGUACAAAGUGCACAUUGAGUUCAUGCAUUUGUAUUAUCUUAAUGUUUAUUUUGUUGACAGUCUUUUACUGUACGUUGGGUUGGUUCUCGUCUCUUUCUGUCAGCGAUGACAUGAAUAAACUUCAGUAUGAUUCAAUGAAAAGUCAGAGUUCAGCUUCAUUGUUCCUCCACUAGAUGGAGUCCAACAUCAUCUUAAUAAAGACUCAAAAGGAAGAAGCUCCACAACACUGACAGAAAACAGAAAACAGAUCCCAG